rnacentral:lncRNA from 1 species
CCCCCUCCCGUUCGACCGCCCAUCGUCGGGUUGGCGCGUGGCAGCCGUCGCCGGACGUGGCGCAUGGCCGGCACCAUGUUGGGGGCGUCGACCGCUGGGGUCGCCGGCCACCGGUGGCCACUGCCACCGAGCACGCCAUGGGGAGAAAAGAAUGAGAGAGAGAGAGAGAGAGAGCCAACUCUCUUCUUUGUAAUUUUAUUGACAGAGGGAAGGGAGGAAGGAAGUGAGAGGGGGAGAACAGCCGGGUUCCAUCUUCCUUGUUCUCCUCCCACUCCAGUUGCUCUAGUUGCUCUAUUUUAAUUCCAUGUUUUCUCUCUAGUCUAGUAUAGGGAAAUCAUGGACUGAUGGUUAAUCCUAGAGUGUUAGAUACUAGUGGACCCUUAAGGGGAUCCAUAGGGGGUUUGGGUUUUAUAUAUAUUGGAUAAUUUUUAAUGAUGAUUUGGUUCUGUAGGGGAACAAUCUGUUGGACGAGAGGACAUUGAGCAGGAUUCUGUGCAUUCCGGUUCUUUAUCGCCGUGAGGGCAGGUGAUUGGUUGUCUAAAUUUUC